UGGGGAAUAUUGGACAAUGGGGACCGGUACAUCAGCCAUGCCGCGCUGUGUGAAGAAGGCCUUAUGGUUGUAAAGCACUUUAAGCGAGGAGGAGGCUCUUUUGGUUAAUACCCAAGAUGAGUGGACGUUACUCGCAGAAUAAGCACCGGCUAACUCUGUGCCAGCAGCCGCGGUAAUACAGAGGGUGCGAGCGUUAAUCGGAUUUACUGGGCGUAAAGCGUGCGUAGGCGGCUUUUUAAGUCGGAUGUGAAAUCCCUGAGCUUAACUUGGGAAUUGCAUUCGAUACUGGGAAGCUAGAAUAUGGGAGAGGAUGGUAGAAUUCCAGGUGUAGCGGUG
rnacentral:rRNA from 1 species